rnacentral:misc_RNA from 1 species
AACUGAUACUACCUGCGGGAACCUGCGGAGGGAUCAUUACUGAGGAGGGUCCAUGGCCCGAUCUCCAACCCUUUGAUAAAAACACCAUGUUGCUUUGGCAGGCCCGCCCGUUGGGGCCGCGGGGGAUCGCCGGUCCCUAGCCCGUGCCUGCCGGUAGCCUUCACAAAACUCUCAAAAUGUUGUCGUCUGAGAUGAUUAGAAUAAUAAAACUUUCAACAACGGAUCUCUAGAUCGGAAGAG